UAUUAUUAAGUCUAAUCAAAUAUGGUUAUAUAUUUUUUCUUCUUUACAUUUAUAUUUAUUUAUUUAAUUUGUAAAUUUUUAUUAAAAUAUUUUUUUUCCGCUGCAUCGCGCGGGUCACUACACUAGUCUAAAUGAAAGCACAAUAUUUCUUGCCACGUGGCAAGUCACCCUUCAUCCCUUCAUCCUCAUAAAUAAAUAAAUAAAUGAAACCACUUCUCUAUCUAAAUAUCAAAUUAACAAAAUAAUUAACUCUCUCUAUUUACCUGCUACUUGAGUUUAUUACUAAUAAAUUCAUUCCGUUUAAUAUGGAUGAUGUAGAUUCAUUGAACCACUAAGCAAUAGUGACAUUAAAUAUCAAAUUCCUUACUCUUGGACUUUUAUCUUAUGAAAUCAACCCUUCGCCUUCCCUCCACAUAUAACGGCUAAUUUAACCCUAUCUAAACCGUAAAUUUAGAAACCCAUCAAAAAGGCCUAACCCUUUGCCUUCCCUCCGCAUAUAACGUCUAAUUAAUGUAUCCACCCAUUUUAACCCUAAUAUAAUCGUAAACCAUAAAAACUCAUGCAAAAGCCUCAUUCUCUCUUACGCAUGUCAUGAAAAUGAAAGCCUAUUUUGUUUCUUAUAAUAAAUUACAACCUCUUUCAUUUAGGAAGAGAUGUGGGAUCUAUUUACUUUUUUUUUUUUAAAAUUCCUAAUUUUGAUGUAUUAUCCUCUUCUCAUUUAGCCUGAGGCGUGGGUGAUGCUUCAGGUCAUAGCGGUGGCGGAGACGGUGAAUGUGAUGGCAGUGGAGACUAAGACGGCUGCGGAAGAAAGCGUGGGCAAUGACAGUGGAGAUCGAGGCGGCAGUAAAAGCAAUG
rnacentral:lncRNA from 1 species